UACGUAGGGUGCAAGCGUUGUCCGGAAUUAUUGGGCGUAAAGCGCACGUAGGCGGCUUGUUAAGUCGGAGGUGAAAUCCUGGAGCUCAACUCCAGAACUGCCUUCGAUACUGGCGAGCUUGAGUUCGGGAGAGGUGAGUGGAACUGCGGAGUGUAGAGGUGAAAUUCGUAGAUAUUCGCAAGAACACCAGUCGGCGAAGGCGGCUCACUGGCCCGAGUACUGACGCUGAGGUGCGAAAGCGUGGGGAGCAAACAGGG
rnacentral:rRNA from 1 species